UGCAGUACAUACAGUAUAUUACAGAAAGUG
rnacentral:piRNA from 1 species